rnacentral:rRNA from 1 species
GGGUUAGUAGGUUGGUCAUGCCUCUGGUAUGUACUGGUCUCACUGAUUCCUCCUUCCUGAUGAACCUUAAUGCCAUUAAUUUGGUGCAGUAGGGAACUAGGACUUUUACUUUGAAAAAAUUAGAGUGUUUAAAGCAGGCUUACGCCUGAAUACAUUAGCAUGGAAUAAUAAAAUAGGACUUUGGUUUUAUUUUGUUGGUUUUCAAGACCGAAGUA